AGAUGGGUAACUUUCGUUGGUAGAAUACCCGGCUCUUACCGGGAGGACGCAGGUUCGAUCCCUGCACCCAUCUA
rnacentral:tRNA from 1 species